UUAGUGGCGGACGGGCGAGUAACGCGUGAGAAUCUGCCCUCAGGAGGGGGAUAACAGAAGGAUGAGACUGCUAAUACCCCAUAUGCCGAGAGGUGAAACGAAUUUUGCCUGGGGAUGAGCUCGCGUCUGAUUAGCUUGUUGGUGGGGUAAAAGCCUACCAAGGCUUCGAUCAGUAGCUGGUCUGAGAGGACGAUCAGCCGCACUGGGACUUGAGAUACGGCCCAGACUCCUACGGGAG
rnacentral:rRNA from 1 species